rnacentral:pre_miRNA from 8 species
AAAAACGAAAAAGAGGCCUUCUCUUCCCGGUUCUUCCCGGAGUCGGGAAAAGCUGGGUUGAGAGGGCGAAAAAGGAAGAGGG